rnacentral:rRNA from 1 species
GAGUUUGAUCAUGGCUCAGGAUGAACGCUAGCGGCAGGCUUAACACAUGCAAGUCGAGGGGUAUAGUUCUUCGGAAUUAGAGACCGGCGCACGGGUGCGUAACGCGUAUGCAAUCUACCUUUCACAGAGGGAUAGCCCAGAGAAAUUUGGAUUAAUACCUCAUAGUAUAACGACUCCGCAUGGAGAUGUUAUUAAAGUCACAACGGUGAAAGAUGAGCAUGCGUCCCAUUAGCUAGUUGGUAAGGUAACGGCUUACCAAGGCUACGAUGGGUAGGGGUCCUGAGAGGGAGAUCCCCCACACUGGUACUGAGACACGGACCAGACUCCUACGGGAGGCAGCAGUGAGGAAUAUUGGACAAUGGGCGCAAGCCUGAUCCAGCCAUGCCGCGUGCAGGAUGACGGUCCUAUGGAUUGUAAACUGCUUUUGCACAGGAAGAAACAACGCUACGUGUAGCGUCUUGACGGUACUGUGAGAAUAAGGAUCGGCUAACUCCGUGCCAGCAGCCGCGGUAAUACGGAGGAUCCAAGCGUUAUCCGGAAUCAUUGGGUUUAAAGGGUCCGUAGGCGGUUUAGUAAGUCAGUGGUGAAAGCCCAUCGCUCAACGGUGGAACGGCCAUUGAUACUGCUAGACUUGAAUUAUUAGGAAGUAACUAGAAUAUGUAGUGUAGCGGUGAAAUGCUU